rnacentral:rRNA from 1 species
AUUGAACGCUGGCGGCAGGCCUAACACAUGCAAGUCGAGCGGGGUUUUCGGACCUAGCGGCGGACGGGUGAGUAAUGCGUAGGAAGCUACCCGAUAGAGGGGGAUACCAGUUGGAAACGACUGUUAAUACCGCAUAAUGUCUACGGACCAAAGUGUGGGACCUUCGGGCCACAUGCUAUCGGAUGCGCCUACGUGGGAUUAGCUAGUUGGUGAGGUAAUGGCUCACCAAGGCGACGAUCUCUAGCUGGUUUGAGAGGAUGAUCAGCCACACUGGAACUGAGACACGGUCCAGACUCCUACGGGAGGCAGCAGUGGGGGAAUAUUGGACAAUGGGCGCAAGCCUGAUCCAGCCAUGCCGCGUGUGUGAAGAAGGCCUUCGGUUGUAAAGCACUUCUAGCGAGGAGGAA